GUGUCAGCAGCCGCGGUAAUACGGAGGGUGCAAGCGUUAUCCGGAUUUAUUGGGUUUAAAGGGUGCGUAGGCGGCCUGUUAAGUCAGUGGUGAAAGUCGGCAGCUCAACUGUCGAAUUGCCUUUGAUACUGGCAGGCUUGAAUGAAGUUGAAGAGGGCGGAAUGUGACAUGUAGCGGUGAAAUGCAUAGAUAUGUCACAGAACACCGAUUGCGAAGGCAGCUCUCUAAGCUUGUAUUGACGCUGAUGCACGAAAGCGUGGGGAUCAAACAGGAUUAGAUACCCUGGUAGUCCACGCCGUAAACGAUGAUCACUCGCUGUUGGCGAUACACAGUCAGCGGCCAAGCGAAAGCGAUAAGUGAUCCACCUGGGGAGUACGAUCGCAAGGUUGAA
rnacentral:rRNA from 1 species